rnacentral:lncRNA from 1 species
GUUUCGGGAAUUCCCACAACUCACUUGAAUUGGUCAGUUGAGUAAAGGAUUUGGAUGGCUCUUCUGGGAGUUCCAUUUUCUUUCUUCAUUUCCCUUCAUAUCUUGCACUUUUCUUCCCUCAGCAUUUGGCUUUAUUUUAACAUACUUUAAUAUUUAAGAUAUAUAUUAUAUAUAAUAUUUAAGAUAUAUAUUAUAUAUAAUAUUUAAGAUAUAUAUAUAUAUAUGAUCUAAAGCCCAGUUUUCUAACCCAUUUUUGUCUCGGCCUUUGGAAACCCUAUCCCUCCCUUCUGACUUCCCCCAAACAUCACCUCUUCUGUGAAGUCCUCCCUGAUUCCCACUGACAGCUGAUUGCUAGCUUCCCUCUCCAUCUUUCCACAGCCCCUGAGCAUGCUCCAUCACAGCCAUCAAACGGGGACGCUACUGUUUACUCAUCUGUCCACACCACUAGAAGCCAAACCCGGCAAGGGCUCACCCAGGUUUGGUGUGUAAGUGAGUGGUGCAAUGAGUCAUGCUACACACAAUCCCUGUCCUCGGAGGAUUUGUAAUUCCUGGAGGGGAUGGAUGUGCUAACAGCACACUGCCAAAUACAAGGAAAACUCUGUAUGUGUUAUCCUUUAGAUUUUUCUAUAAUGGCUUAGGUCAAGUUGUGUUUUACUUCCUAUGAGAUGAUGUCCUUGAAGUAAGUGGUUCUUACAGACUACACUAGAUUUUUCAUUUUAAAGUCCUAUGGCUUGUAUGCACCCUGGUAACUCAGCACAUUGACAAGUGAUGUCUGUCUUUGUCCUCAAAAACAUACGCUGAUGAAAUGUAAGACAUUAGGAUUCUUAAAGUAACACACCUCGGUAGUCUAUAGCAUCCCUUGACCUCAUUAUAUUGCUUCAAAUACAGCUGAGUGGAUAUAAGGCCCAUCACAGGAAAAAAUAUAUAUAAUUUUUAUCCUGAGAAAAGUAAAUUUUGUAUUCCCAAAUUCUCUAUUAUUAAAUCUGUGACCUUAUUAUUGCGUUAGAGUAGAUAUUUUAUUCAAUUAUAUGGACAAUAAGAGAACAGAGAGAGAUGGAGCUGGUCCAGAAUCCCGGGAGUGUGAGAAGAUGACGGUAUUUAUUUUAUCUGCUCCUGACAAUGGAGUUAACACAGUCACCAAAGCUACAUCCAGCAAAACAUAAAUUCAAGAAGAAGGUAAUUACUGUCAGUCAGACCUAACAUUAAGCAUCUGUUUAUCUGAACUUUAAAAACAACGACAACAACAACAAUAACAACAACAACAAAAGAGCAACUGCUCAGUAGAGUGGCACACCCCUCAAAUCCCAGCACUAGGGAGACAGAGAUAAGGGGAUCUGUGGGAGGCUGAGGCCAGUCUGGUCUAUACAAUAGCAAGUUCCAGGCCAGCAAAGGCUUUGUAACGUUGGUGCUGGAUAAGGAAAACUGAACGUGGCCAAAAGAUAAGCAUUGUCAAAUUAAACAAACAGACUUAGGCUGGCUUUAAAAUAUUAAUGGUGGUGAUGAUGGUGGAGGUGAUGAUGGUGAUGAAGAUGAUGAUGAAGAAGAAACAAACUAUUUCUAAUGCUUCAAUGCAAGCAAAUACAUGGGCUUUUUUUUUUUUUUUUUUUUUCCCUGCACACAGGGAAGCAUUGCUUGAACAAAGGCUUUCAGAAAAUGGGCCAGCAAGGUGGCUCAGUGGGGUCAAGGCACUUGCCAAACCCAACAACCCGAGUUCCUGCCCUGCUCUCACCUGGCAGAAGGAGAGGGAAACCUUUCCUUUGAAAGGUCACCCCAGGCCCAUGUCACAUGACACUGCUACAUGCUUGAACACACACAUACAACUAGUAAUUAAUUAAUUAAUUAAUUAACAUGAUUCAAGAUGCUCUCAGAAAGUGGCCAUAUCCCAGCAAGCCAUGAAAACACAAGUGUAAGUGAGGCUCAGGGGGACAGUCUGUCCAUCUGUUACCCGAAAUCGGAUGUGAGCCAAGGCUAGCUCAUAUAUUCUUUUAGCCUCAUAAAUUUACAUAAAUGCUUUUCCUAAUGCUUUUUUUGUUUUGUUUUCUUUUCUUUUUUUUUUUUUUUUUUGUCGAUUUGACAACUGAUUUAUGUUUUUCCUUGUCAAAGAAGUCAGUUCUAGUGCAGGCUUAUUAUUAGUCUUAGGCUGUCAGAGUCCAUAGCACGGUGUGAAAAUAAGUAAGGAGUUUUUGUUAGGACUCAACCAGUGCUACGCAAGACCACAGAUGGGAUUGAACUGCAGCAGACAAGCAGCUCAGACUUGAGGACACAAACCUGUCUAGUGAAUGAAAAGUCCAAGUCAGGUGCCACUUGUCUGAAAGGCUCGAGGCAGACACUUAUUCAAAGAAGAACAAAUACAAAGGAAAGGGGUCCACACGUCUGGGGAAUGCUCACGAGUGCAGACACUAUAGAAAUCAAUGUGGAGGUUUCUCAAAAGGCUAAAAAUAGAUCUACCAUAUGAUCCCAGGUACCUUGCUCCUGGGCACAUUUCCAAAGUACUCCAAGGGAGCCUGUGAGAGAGAUGCCCUCAAACCCAUGUUGAUUGCAGCAGCAGCAGCAACAACAACAACAACAAUAAUCACAAAAAACAAGUUAUGGAACCAGCCUAGCUGCCCACCAACAGAGGAGGGUUAAAUACGCAAUGUUUUGUUCCCAUCAUAAAGGAAAAGUGAACAUUUCCCAUCUGUGGGAAAGUAAACGGAAGUGGAUAUUAUCUUGUUAAGCAAAAGUCAGACUC